GGUGAAAUUGGGGAAAUCAACUCCAAAAGCCUUCUACGAGAACUAGUAACCCGGUUGAGUUGCAGAUUAGUGUGGACCCCUGUAGCCCAGCAAGCUCUGAACAGAAGAGAAGUACAGGUUGAGGUCUACUCUAUCUUAGAAUAGAUACUCUGGAAGGAGGACUUCCUUAUGUAUUAAGUUUGAUAUUGAUGUUGUAGUUUGAUGUUGCAUUUUGAGGUUGUAAGUUUAGCCUUAACGUUUGGGUAUAGGAGAGAUACCUAAGCGUGGCGGUAACACCCGAUUUUCUGCUGGCUA